rnacentral:piRNA from 1 species
UGGGACUCGUAUUACAGGGAAUGGCA